UGAACGCUGGCGGCGUGCUUAACACAUGCAAGUCGAACGGAAAGGCUCCCGCUUGCGGGGUACUCGAGUGGCGAACGGUGUGAGUUACACGUGGGUGAUCUGCCCUGUACUUCGGGAUAAGCCUGGGAAACUGGGUCUAAUACUGGAUAGGACUGCCAGCUGGUGCUGGUGGUGGAAAGCUUUUGCGGUAUGGGAUGAGCUCGCGGCCUAUCAGCUUGUUGGUGGGGUAAUGGCCUACCAAGGCGUCGACGGGUAGCCGGCCUGAGAGGGUGUACGGCCACAUUGGGACUUAGACACGGUCCAGACUCCUACGGGAGGCAGCAGUAGGGAAUCUUCCACAAUGGGUGCAAGCCUGAUGGAGCAAUGCCGCGUGAGUGAAGAAGGACUUCGGUUCGUAAAGCUCUGUUGUUGGGGAAGAACACGGAUAGGAGUUACUGCCUAUCCCUUGACGGUACCCAACCAGAAAGUCACGGCUAACUACGUGCCAGCAGCCGCGGUAAUACGUAGGUAACAAGCGUUGUCCGGAAUUACUGGGCGUAAAGAGCUCGUAGGUGGUUUGUCGCGUCGUUUGUGUAAGUCCAUGGCUUAACUGUGGACUGCAGGCGAUACGGGCAUAACUUGAGUGCUGUAGGGGAGACUGGACUCCUGGUGUAGCGGUGAAAUGCGCAGAUAUCAGGAGGAACACCGAUGGCGAAGGCAGGUCUCUGGGCAGUACUGACGCUGAGGAGCGAAAGCAUGGUAGCGAACAGG
rnacentral:rRNA from 1 species